rnacentral:tRNA from 2 species
GCAGUCAUGGGCGAGUGGUUAAGGUGAUGGACUAGAAAUCCAUUGGGGUCUCCCCGCACAGGUUCGAAUCCUGUCGACUGCG